rnacentral:rRNA from 1 species
UGUAGAGGAUGCUUUUGGUGAGGUGCCGCCCGAGUUCCCUGGAACGGGACGCCACAGAGGGUGAGAGCCCCGUCUGGCUGGCCACCGAGCCUCUGUAAAGCUCCUUCGACGAGUCGAGUAGUUUGGGAAUGCUGCUCAAAAUGGGAGGUAUAUGUCUUCUAAAGCUAAAUAUUGGCCAGAGACCGAUAGCGCACAAGUAGAGUGAUCGAAAGAUGAAAAGCACCUUGAAAAGAGGGUUAAACAGUACGUGAAAUUGUUGAAAGGGAAGCGCUUGUGACCAGACUUGGGCGCGGCGAAUCAUCCGGGGUUCUCUCCGGUGCACUUCGUCGCGUUCAGGCCAGCAUCAGUUCGGCGCGGGGGAAAAAGGCUUCGGGAACGUGGCUGCUCCGGCAGUGUUAUAGCCCGUUGCAUAAUACCCUGUGCUGGACUGAGGACCGCGCAUCUGCAAGGAUGCUGGCGUAAUGGUCACCAGCGACCCGUCUUGAAACACGGACCAAGGAGUCGUCUUCGUAUGCGAGUGUUCGGGUGUCAAACCCCUACGCGUAAUGAAAGUGAACGCA